GAAAUGCGAUAAGUAGUGUGAAUUGCAGAAUUCAGUGAAUCAUCGAAUCUUUGAACGCACAUUGCGCCCCUUGGUAUUCCAUGGGGCAUGCCUGUUCGAGCGUCAUCUACACCCUCAAGCUCUGCUUGGUGUUGGGCGUCUUUGUCCCGCCUCCGCGCGCGGACUCGCCCCAAAUUCAUUGGCAGCAGUCCUUGCCUCCUCUCGCGCAGCACAUUGCGCUUCUCGAGGUGUUGCGGCCCGCGUCCAGAAAGCAAUCGUUACCGUCUUUGACCUCGGAUCAGGUAGGGAUACCCGCUGAACUUAAGC
rnacentral:misc_RNA from 1 species